rnacentral:rRNA from 1 species
AGAGUUUGAUCAUGGCUCAGGACGAACGCUGGCGGCGCGCCUAACACAUGCAAGUCGAACGAGAGAGAGGGAGCUUGCUUCCUUGAUCGAGUGGCGAACGGGUGAGUAACGCGUGAGGAACCUGCCUCAAAGAGGGGGACAACAGUUGGAAACGACUGCUAAUACCGCAUAAGCCCACGGCUCGGCAUCGAGCAGAGGGAAAAGGAGCAAUCCGCUUUGAGAUGGCCUCGCGUCCGAUUAGGUAGUUGGUGAGGUAACGGCCCACCAAGCCGACGAUCGGUAGCCGACCUGAGAGGGUGAUCGGCCACAUUGGGACUGAGACACGGCCCAAACUCCUACGGGAGGCAGCAGUGGGGAAUAUUGGGCAAUGGGGGGAACCCUGACCCAGCAACGCCGCGUGGAGGAAGAAGGUUUUCGGAUCGUAAACUCCUGUCCUUGGAGACGAGUAGAAGACGGUAUCCAAGGAGGAAGCCCCGGCUAACUACGUGCCAGCAGCCGCGGUAAUACGUAGGGGGCAAGCGUUGUCCGGAAUAAUUGGGCGUAAAGGGCGCGUAGGCGGCUCGGUAAGUCUGGAGUGAAAGUCCUGCUUUUAAGGUGGGAAUUGCUUUGGAUACUGUCGGGCUUGAGUGCAGGAGAGGUUAGUGGAAUUCCCAGUGUAGCGGUGAAAUGCGUAGAGAUUGGGAGGAACACCAGUGGCGAAGGCGACUAACUGGACUGUAACUGACGCUGAGGCGCGAAAGUGUGGGGAGCAAACAGGAUUAGAUACCCUGGUAGUCCACACUGUAAACGAUGAAUGCUAGGUGUAGGGGGUAUCGACCCCUUCUGUGCCGCAGUCAACACAAUAAGCAUUCCGCCUGGGGAGUACGGCCGCAAGGUUGAAGCUCAAAGGAAUUGACGGGGGCCCGCACAAGCAGCGGAGCAUGUGGUUUAAUUCGACGCAACGCGAAGAACCUUACCAGGUCCUGACAUCCACUUAAACUUACAGAGAUGUAAGGUGUGCUUGCACAAAGUGAGACAGGUGGUGCAUGGUUGUCGUCAGCUCGUGUCGUGAGAUGUUGGGUUAAGUCCCGCAACGAGCGCAACCCUUAUCUUCAGUUACUAACGCGUAGAGGUGAGGACUCUGAAGAGACUGCCGGGGACAACUCGGAGGAAGGUGGGGACGACGUCAAAUCAUCAUGCCCCUUAUGACCUGGGCUACACGCGUGCUACAAUGGCCACGACAGAGAGGAGCGAAAUCGCAAGGUAGAGCGGAACUCAAAAAAGUGGUCCCAGUUCGGAUUGUGGGCUGCAACCCGCCCACAUGAAGUCGGAGUUGCUAGUAAUCGCGGAUCAGCAUGCCGCGGUGAAUACGUUCCCGGGCCUUGUACACACCGCCCGUCACACCAUGGGAGUUGGGAGUGCCCAAAGCCGGUGAGGCAACCGCAAGGAGCCAGCCGUCUAAGGCAAGACCAAUGACUGGGGUGAAGUCGUAACAAGGUA